GUCUCACUUCUGUUCAACAGAUACUACUUUCCUUUUACUGCCAAAAACCAAGGUCAAGAAGGUGAUUUGGCCAGAGGCCCAGUGUAAUCAAAGCCACUGCAGAGAGAAGACAUUCAAGCCACAGCAGAAUUUCAGGAGGCACUGGUUUUGCAUGUGAACUUCACCUUCUGCAGAACAAAGUCGGCUUACCAUGAACUGGAAAUCAAGUGGAGGAUCAUUCAAUGGCCAUAUUUCUUUUUCUAGAGAAGAAAGCAAUUUAAAUGAGGACCGAAACACAUCAGGCUUUAGCAAACAUCAAUUAAAUAUUUAAACAAGUACUAUAUUUCAGAUCGUGAAAUGCUUAUUAGAUUGGAUGCUGCCACCAGCCUCACACAGGUGAGUGCACUUUAUACAUAGCAGAUUACAUCAGACAAUCUGAAAUCUGGGAUUUCUGUAUCAUAUAGUUCUUGGAAUUAUUUAGGAAUGUGUUUUCAGCAAUGAUGACUCAUGUACCACCGGGUCCUGGUGGUCAGACACAUUGUCUCAUUCUGAAGUUAUGAAUACACACAUGAGCGUCAGCAGUACAGAAUAAACUACCCAAUCUAUUUUCCUUCUGCCCUUCG
rnacentral:lncRNA from 13 species